AUAGCGUAUAUUAAAGUUGUUGCAGUUAAAAAGCUCGUAGUUGAACCUUGGGCCUGGCUGACCGGUCUGCCUCACCGUAUGCACUGGUUUGGUCGGGCCUUUCCUUCUGGGUAGCCACAUGCCCUUUAUUGGGUGUGUUGGGGAACCAGGACUUUUACUUUGAAAAAAUUAGAGUGUUCAAAGCAGGCAUUUGCUCGGAUACAUUAGCAUGGAAUAAUAGAAUAGGACGUGUGGUUCUAUUUUGUUGGUUUCUAGGACCACCGUAAUGAUUAAUAGGGAUAGUCGGGGGCAUCAGUAUUCAAUUGUCAGAGGUGAAAUUCUUGGAUUAAUUGAAGACUAACUACUG
rnacentral:rRNA from 1 species